GGGGCCGAUCGGUUUCGACGGUAGAUGUCCAGCGAGGGGAAGCGGGCCGAGGAGCCACAGUCAUCUCGUUAACGAUCUGUGGAAACCAAUAAGUGCCGAACCUAAGCGCACUGACUUCGCUCUCGCUGCCUGAUCAGCGAGUAGCAGUCUGGACCGUCAGGAGCUGCUCGCGACCUGGCCUGUCCAUCAUUGAGCGAGCCACUGCUUCCCGUGCUUGUCAUCGGCACGGGGUGAACACUUCAGAAUGACUGAGUUCGUCGGCGACAUGUCUGUGUGAGCGCCGGAACUGAGAAAACGCCUUUCGCAGACUGCGCCCGGAGAAGCCCUGGCUUCGCACUAUCGGACGCGGGUUCGAUUCCCGCCGGCUCCACCU
rnacentral:tmRNA from 1 species